GAACGCAUCUUGCGCUCCUUGGUAUUCUGAGGAGCAUGCCUGUUUGAGUGUCAUUAAUAUCUCAACCAUACUCAUGUUGGAGGGUAUGGCUUGGACGUGGGGGUUACAGGCCCUUAUUUGUGGUCUGCUCCCCUGAAAUACAUGAGUGGCAAAGCCCCUCCAUUAGGUGUGAUACUUAUCUGCAUCGUUGUUGUUGUUCUUGACCUCAAAUCAGGUAGGACCACCCGCUGAACUUAAG
rnacentral:misc_RNA from 1 species